AUACUUACUCGACAGGGGUGAUUCUAUGAUUAUGAAGGUUUCCCCAGGGCAAGGCUCAUCUGUUGCACUUGGGAUGGACCGACCCUUGCGAUUUCCCCAAAUGCGGGAAACUCGACUGUGUAAUUUGUGAUAGUGGGGGGCUGCAUUUGCGCUCUCCCCUG